rnacentral:rRNA from 1 species
GACGAACGCUGGCGGCGUGCUUAACACAUGCAAGUCGAACGGAAAGGUCCUGCUUUUGUGGGGUUGUCGAGUGGCGAACGGGUGAGUAACACGUGUGUAACCUGCCCCUGUCUUUGGGAUAUCUUCAGGAAACUGGGGCUCUUAUCGGGUAGGAGCUCCUGCUGCAUGGUGGUCGUUGGUGAGUUUCGGCGGUUGGGGAUGGACUCGCGGCUUAUCAGCUUGUUUGUGUGGUAGUUGCUUACCAAGGCUUUGACGGGUAGGCGGCCUGAGAGGUGGACCGGCGACAUUGGGACUGCGAUACGCACCAGACUCCUACGGGAGGCAGCAGUGGGGAGUAUUGCACAAUGGGCGGAAGUCUGAUGCAACGACGCCGCGUGCGGGAUAACGGCCUUCGGGUUGUAAACCGCUUUCGCCUGUGACGAAGCGUGAGUGACGGUAAUGGGUAAAGAAGCACCGGCUAACUACGUG